UACGGGGGGGGCAAGCGUUGUUCGGAAUUACUGGGCGUAAAGGGCUCGUAGGCGGCCAACUAAGUCGGAUGUGAAAUCCCCAGGCUCAACUUGGGAACUGCAUCCGAUACUGGAUGGCUUGAAUUCGGGAGAGGGAUGCAGAAUUCCUGGUGUAGCGGUGAAAUGCGUAGAUAUCAGGAGGAACACCAGCGGCGAAGGCGGCGCUCUGGGCCGGUACUGACACUGAGGAGCGAAAGCUGGGGGAGCGAACAGG
rnacentral:rRNA from 1 species